rnacentral:rRNA from 1 species
AACGAACGCUGGCGGCAGGCCUAACACAUGCAAGUCGAGCGCGCCCUUCGGGGUGAGCGGCGGACGGGUGAGUAACGCGUGGGAACGUGCCCUUUUCUACGGAAUAGCCUCGGGAAACUGAGAGUAAUACCGUAUACGCCCUUUGGGGGAAAGAUUUAUCGGAAAAGGAUCGGCCCGCGUUGGAUUAGGUAGUUGGUGGGGUAAUGGCCUACCAAGCCGACGAUCCAUAGCUGGUUUGAGAGGAUGAUCAGCCACACUGGGACUGAGACACGGCCCAGACUCCUACGGGAGGCAGCAGUGGGGAAUAUUGCACAAUGGGCGGAAGCCUGAUGCAGCGACGCCGCGUGGGGGAUGACGGCCUUCGGGUUGUAAACUCCUUUCACCAUCGACGAAGGUUUUCUGACGGUAGAUGGAGAAGAAGCACCGGCUAACUACGUG